AUGAAGAAGACCAAAAGCUGCAAAGGCAAACACUUCCAAUGACGCUGAAUCUGAUGUGUACAGAUGAACUCAGGAGCCUACUAGAGUUGCCAAGGAACUUGUGCUUGAACUGAAGACCAGAAACGCAAAGAAAAUCAGUCAAACCAGUC